AUAUAUAUAUAUAUAUAUAUAUCCGUUAUUUAUAUACACGGCGCAAUCAACACACACUACCUCAGUUUAUAUAUAAAUAUACACACGAAAAAUAGACAAGAUACACAUUACAUUUAAAUAACAAUUAGAACAACAAAAUAAUAAUAAUAACAAUAAUAACAAAACACCUGGCCCUAUCCUCACCCGAUUUCUACAAAAGGAAAAAAAAUUUAACAGAAGAAUAAUAUAUUUCUCUACGUCAUCUUUAUCAUACGAAAUCGCCGAAACCUGGGUUGGUUCCUACAUUUAACUUAUUCUUCUUAUUAUUGUUUUGGUGGGUGAGUGCGUAUCAACGCACCAAUUAUAAAGCAGUCAAAAUUUCACCAUCAAAAGCAGAAAACAUGACAGAGACUCAAGCAAAAAGGAGAUGUUUAAGAAUGGAGAUUUUGGCAG